GCUGUUUCGCAAAGUAAUUAAGAGUCAAUGUUAAAGGAGGAAAUGCCUUUAAAUGUUAAGACUGGUAUUUGAUUUAAAAGAUGGCCAGCAGCCGCGGUAACUCCAGCUCCAAGAGUGUAUAUUAAAGUUGUUGCAGUUAAAAAGCUCGUAGUUGGAUUUCGAAUUUUGCGUUUAGGUUGGUAAUUAUAUUACCAAUCGACUUGUCAAAGUUCUACUUUUGUAGGUAGAAAUACUUACAAUUGUUUACUGUGAAAAAAUUAGAGUGUUUAAAGCAGGCAUUUUUGCCUUGAAUAUUUCAGCAUGGGAUAAUCAAAUAUGACAUUGGUCAUAAUUUGUUGGUUUCUAUGGCUAGUGUAAUGAUUAAAAGGGACAGUCGGUGUGACUUGUAUUGGCUCGUUAGGGGUGAAAUCCUAUGAUCGAGUCAAGACAAACUACUGCGAAAGCAUUUCACAAGGAUGUUUUCAUUAAUCAAGAACGAAAGUUGGGGGAUCGAAGAUGAUCAGAUACCGUCGUAGUCUCAACUGUAAACGAUGUCGACUUAGGAUCAGGAGAUAUUACAUGGAUGAUUCUCCUGGCACUAUGUGAGAAAUCAUAAGUAUCCAGACUCUGGGGGGAGUAUGGCCGCAAGACUGAAACUCAAAGGAAUUGACG
rnacentral:rRNA from 1 species